UUAUGAAUAAGGAUCGGCUAACUCCGUGCCAGCAGCCGCGGUAAUACGGAGGAUCCGAGCGUUAUCCGGAUUUAUUGGGUUUAAAGGGAGCGUAGAUGGAUGUUUAAGUCAGUUGUGAAAGUUUGCGGCUCAACCGUAAAAUUGCAGUUGAUACUGGAUGUCUUGAGUGCAGUUGAGGCAGGCGGAAUUCGUGGUGUAGCGGUGAAAUGCUUAGAUAUCACGAAGAACUCCGAUUGCGAAGGCAGCCUGCUAAGCUGCAACUGACAUUGAGGCUCGAAAGUGUGGGUAUCAAACAGGAUUAGAUACCCUGGUAGUCCACACGGUAAACGAUGAAUACUCGCUGUUUGCGAUAUACGGCAAGCGGCCAAGCGAAAGCGUUAAGUAUUCCACCUGGGGAGUACGCCGGCAACGGUGAAACUCAAAGGAAUUGACGGGGGCCCGCACAAGCGGAGGAACAUGUGGUUUAAUUCGAUGAUACGCGAGGAACCUUACCCGGGCUUAAAUUGCACUCGAAUGAUCCGGAAACGGUUCAGCUAGCAAUAGCGAGUGUGAAGGUGCUGCAUGGUUGUCGUCAGCUCGUGCCGUGAGGUGUCGGCUUAAGUGCCAUAACGAGCGCAACCCUUGUUGUCAGUUACUAACAGGUGAUGCUGAGGACUCUGACAAGACUGCCAUCGUAAGAUGUGAGGAAGGUGGGGAUGACGUCAAAUCAGCACGGCCCUUACGUCCGGGGCUACACACGUGUUACAAUGGGGGGUACAGAGGGCCGCUACCACGCGAGUGGAUGCCAAUCCCUAAAACCCCUCUCAGUUCGGACUGGAGUCUGCAACCCGACUCCACGAAGCUGGAUUCGCUAGUAAUCGCGCAUCAGCCACGGCGCGGUGAAUACGUUCCCGGGCCUUGUACACACCGCCCGUCAAGCCAUGGGAGCCGGGGGUACCUGAAGUGCGUAACCGCGAGGAUCGCCCUAGGGUAAAACUGGUGACUGGGGCUAAGUCGUAACAAGGUAGCCGUACCGGAAGGUGCGGCUG
rnacentral:rRNA from 1 species